AUAUUUGACAGAGGUGAACGAAUGCUUCGAGGAGUCAGGCAUGUGCCAGGGCUAAGGAGGAAUCUAAUUUCGCUUGGUGUUCUUCAUGAUGGUGGUAUGGAAUUCCGUUGUGAUCGGGAUAAGAAAACCAUGAAAAUCAUGGAAGAUGUGGUGAGUGUGACCAUAGGAGAGAGGACGGCUUCGUAUCUUUACAAGUUGCAAGGAAGUACUAUUGCAUGUGGAGCCUUGCAGAGUGGAGCUGCAGGAGUUCCAGUGGAGUCCCACGGUGGUGGCGAGUCUGACCCGUCGGGUAGCUCUCAGUAA
rnacentral:rRNA from 1 species